rnacentral:rRNA from 1 species
AAUGAACGUUGGCGGCGUGGAUUAGGCAUGCAAGUCGUGCGAGAAUCGUAGCAAUACGAGGACAGCGGCGAAAGGGAGAGGAACACGUGGAUACCUACCCUCGGGAUCGGGAUAGCUGCGGGAAACUGCAGGUAAUACCGAAUAACAUCUUCGGAUCAAAGGUGUGAUUCCGCCCGGGGCCGGGUCCGCGUCCUAUGAGCUAGUUGGUGGGGUAACGGCCUACCAAGGCAAAGAUGGGUACGGGGUGUGAGAGCAUGCCCCCGCUCACUGGGACUGAGAUACUGCCCAGACACCUACGGGUGGCUGCAGUCGAGAAUCUUCGGCAAUGGGCGCAAGCCUGACCGAGCGACGCCGCGUACGGGAUGAAGGCCUUCGGGUUGUAAACCGUUGUCAGUGGGGAGGAAAUGUCGGUGGGUUCUCCCAUCGAUUUGACCUAUCCGCAGAGGAAGGACGGGCUAAGUUCGUGCCAGCAGCCGCCGUAAUAC